rnacentral:rRNA from 1 species
AUUGAACGCUGGCGGCAGGCCUAACACAUGCAAGUCGAGCGGAUGAAGGGAGCUUGCUCCUGGAUUCAGCGGCGGACGGGUGAGUAAUGCCUAGGAAUCUGCCUGGUAGUGGGGGAUAACGUCCGGAAACGGGCGCUAAUACCGCAUACGUCCUGAGGGAGAAAGUGGGGGAUCUUCGGACCUCACGCUAUCAGAUGAGCCUAGGUCGGAUUAGCUAGUUGGUGGGGUAAAGGCCUACCAAGGCGACGAUCCGUAACUGGUCUGAGAGGAUGAUCAGUCACACUGGAACUGAGAAAAGGUCCAGACUCCUACGGGAGGCAGCAGUGGGGAAUAUUGGACAAUGGGCGAAAGCCUGAUCCAGCCAUGCCGCGUGUGUGAAGAAGGUCUUCGGAUUGUAAAGCACUUUAAGUUGGGAGGAAGGGCAGUAAGUUAAUACCUUGCUGUUUUGACGUUACCAACAGAAUAAGCACCGGCUAACUUCGUG